rnacentral:rRNA from 1 species
CCUACCUGGUUGAUCCUGCCAGUAAUCAUAUGCUUGUUUCAAAGAUUAAGCCAUGCAUGUCUAAGUCCAAGCUGUGUCUGACACGGCGAGACCGCGGACGGCUCAUUAAAUCAGUCGUGGUCCAAAUGGGCCAGUUUAUUCUACUUGGAUAACUGUGGUAAUUCCAGAGCUAAUACAUGCAACUCGAAUCCCGAUGACUGGCGCUUCGUUCUCUUGUAGGACUUAGCGUUUUGUUCGGACGGAUGCUUUUAUUAGACCAAACCACCGAGGGUGACGGCGUUGCGUGUCUUCUCGUAGAGCGCGCUCGUCUCGCUCUACUCGUGUUGGGUGACUCCGGAUAACUCUAUUGACAAGCGCACGUACCACUUUCCGAGUCGGACGGCGCUGCCACUUUCGAGUGUCUGCCUUAUCAGCUAUCAACCGUUCGUUAUGUGCGACCGAUGGCAUUGACGGGUAACGGAGAAUCAGGGUUCGAUUCCGGAGAGGCAGCCUGAGAAACGGCUACCACGUCCAAGGACGGCAGCAGGCACGCAAAUUACCCAAUCCCAGCAACUGGGGGAGGUAGUGACGAAAUCUAACGAUGCGGGCGCCCUUUCUGGGGCCCCGCAAUCGGAAUGAGCGCUUUCUAAACAACCCGUUGAGAACCUACUGAAGGGCAAGUCUGGUGCCAGCAGCCGCGGUAAUUCCAGCUUCAGUAGCAUCUAUUAAAGUUGCUGCGGUUAAAAGGCUCGCAGUUGAAACUCAGUGCCGAGCGCAGGUCAGGUGGACGUUGGAGCGUGAGUAUAAAGGAAAAGCGCGCGUACUCCGCGUUUGCUUUCUCCCGUCUCGCUUGUUCCCGUCCGUGAACAGCCUCCUCGCUCGCGUACAUAUCGGAAUCCCGUUUACGGAGUGUGCUUGUGAGGGUUUCGCGCUCGCGUGUUGCCCGAGCUCGUACGUCAAGCUCCCUCGGGUCUAUUGUCACCUUGAGUAAAUCAGAGUGCUCAAAGCAGUCGUAGGGGCCUCGCGCCCUGUGAAAAGUCUAAACGGACUGACUUGGUUUUGCAUGGUAUGUUGGAAUACGACGUCGCGCGCUGGUUCAGAGGAUAUUACUGGUGGUAUAAACCAGCCGCGACGUACUGAUUAAAAGGGUCGGUCGAGGGCAUUGGUAUUGCGGGGCGAGAGGUGAAAUUCUAUGACCCCCGCAAGACCUCCUGAAGCGAAAGCGUCUGCCAAGGACGGUUUCAUUAAUCAUGAACGAAAGUUAGAGGAUCGAAGGCGAUCAGAUACCGCCCUAGUUCUAACCCUAAACGAUGCCAACCAUCAAUCCGCGCGGAGUACCCUUCUUAACGGACUCGGCGGGCAGCUCCCUAUUCACGGGAAACCAGAGUCUCUGGGUUCCGGGGGGAGUCUGGUUGCAAAGCUGAAACUUAAAGGAAUUGACGGAAAGGCACCACCAGGCGUGGACCUGCGGCUUAAUUUGACUCAACACGGGCCAUCUCACCAGGCCAGCACUCUUGUACGAUUGACAGAUUGAGAGCUCUUUCUCGAUUCAGUGGAUGGUGGUGCAUGGCCGUUCUUAGUUGGUGGAGUGAUCUGUCUGGUUAAUUCCGAUAACGAACGAGACUCUCCCCUGCUAACUAGUCGGUUGGAUCUUGCUCGGUGAAUUGCGCGUCGGGAUCACUCGCUCAGCGUGGAGGGUCUGUGUGGUUUUCGGGUUUCGGCUCGUUAUAUCGCGCAGUGCUCUCUCGUCGUGUUGAGCCUCGUUCGUCGUAUUCCAAGUCCGCCGCUUAUGCUUAGACUCUUCUUAGAGGGAUUCACGGUACUGAAGCCGUAAGAGACUGAGAGCAAUAACAGGUCUGUGAUGCCCUUAGAUGCUCUGGGCCCGCACGCGCGCUACAAUGCCGGGCGCAACGGGUAUUUUUCCUUUUCCGACAGGAACGGGUAACCGUUUGAAAGCCCUUGCUUUAUUGAGUCUCGUACUCGAAUGGCGUGCUUGGGCCUGGGGCUUGCAAUUCUUUCCCACAAACGAGGAGUGCCUAGUAACGGCGGGUCACUGAGCCCGCCGUGAUUCAGUCCCUGCCCUUUGUACACACCGCCCGUCGCUACUACCGAUUGGGUGUACCAGUGAGAGCCUUGACUGGCGUCCGUCGCUUCGGGCGAGCGGUAUCGACGGAAAGAGGUCCGAACUGGUGCACUUAGAGGAAGUAAAAGUCGUAACAAGGUUUCCGUAGUGAACCUGCGGAAGGAUCAUUA